rnacentral:lncRNA from 1 species
CACAGAAACAUUCUAUCACUGAACCGUGCAAUGAAAUAACAGAAAAGAUUAAAAGCAAGCAAAGCUUUAAAAAGGCUACUUUCAAAUGCAAGUUCUCUUCAAACUCCACCUCAGCAAUGAUUUCACACAAACAAUGCAUAGGAAAUCCAUCACAAACACAAAAGCAUUCACACUGAAUUCACAGCUGCUUCACACUGAAUUCACAGCUGCUCACCGGCCAGCCAGGGAAUGUUCCAUUUUCCCACUUUUUCUCAAACUCAGUCUGAAUUUUCCCAAAGAGCUCAUUCUGGUCCAGUAAUGGUUUCACUCGAUCUGUGUACUCCUGUAGGUACUCAAGAAGCAUUUCAAGAUACCUCUUAUAUUCAGCAUUUUUUCUCUCUUUGGGAAUGUCAAAGAGUUGGUCAAAUGUAGAAAGAUAAGUGAUGUAAUCCAGUUUCUCUGAUGAUUUCAGAUUAAUGUAUUUGAGAUAGCAAUCGUGCAGAUCUAAGUAUCGUCCAUACCCUUCUUCAUCUGUGAAUUCUACCAGGUUUUGAGCUUCUUCACUUGGGUUGUCUCUGGCCUUCAACAGUUCCUCAAACUCCACUGACAUUGGAACACAAAUCUCAUUGGGAUGCUUUCGGUGGAACUCUUUAAUUUGUUUCAGUCUGUUGUAGAACUCUGCAAAUUCAUUUGGCCCUGAAAUGGCACUGAGCUCCUCCUUCCGCAAGCCAUCCUUGUCGUCAUACAGGUCCCUCAGGUUGCCGCUCACUUCCAUGUACCUGUCCUGCAUGGCCCGCGUCCGGUGGUCGGAGUUGAUCUGAUCGCGGAGCGUGGACUUCUUGGUGAGCAUCUCCUUCACCAUGACGUCCAUCAGCCGCUCCCGCUCCUCAUGAUAGCGCCGCUGCUGCUCCAGGAUCGUCUCCAUCCUCCUGCGUCCCGCCCGGAAAUCGACGCGAGCUACUUCCGGUAUAGCCUGUGCG